GGGAGCGCAGGAAGUUGUUAACCAUGCUCAGUAGCUGUUUGAAGCUGGUGUGGAAGACUCCAUUUAAGGGCAGACAUCCCUUAAGUCAGCGGGAUUGAGACUCGAAACACCAUGAAGGAGGAAUCUCAGACUGGAGGAGAUUCAGCACCUUAUUCACGGGGUAAGGGGAACUGUCAGAAAUGGACUCAACAUG